AACGACCAAAUUACCCCCGUGAAUGGAGAAAACCCUUGUCUUCUCCGUUCACCCAGUUCGAACACUGCAGCGGCGGCAAGAUCUCAAAGGGCGGCCAGCGACAACUUUGAAUACAAAACAUCGAUUGAUUUAAAAUCUUCAACGGAAACCUUACCUGAAACGUGCCGGCAACGAUAGGAAUUUUAAUGUGAAUAAUUGGUGAGUAUGUG